rnacentral:lncRNA from 1 species
AGUGAGGAGCCCACAGAACCAGACAGAGUCUGAAAUGGCAUCUAAUCCUGGAGUUGUCGCUCAGGGUACGCAUGCUAGAAGCAGCCUUGGUUAGGAUGUGUUAAGCCCUCACAGCUGUGCGGGGUGCAGGUGGGGUGACGCUCAUAUCUUCACACACACAGGUGUGAACUUCAAACCAGAAUGCUGCUUGGAGGCUCCAACACAGGCAAGCCUGCCAGUAAACAGAAGAAACCCCCAGUGGCUGGCUAAACACCCCUGUAGCAUCUAUGUGGCCUCAUUCUGUUAAAAUGUAGUGACAAGGACAUUCAUCAUUGCUUAUAUGAAUGUUUCUCAGUGAGAGUAAGGAAGCUCUCUUAUUCAUGCAGGAACAUUUUUCCUCCAGCUCUGGGCUCCGCUUUAAUUUUCUACUAACAAGACUGCAGUCAGCUCCACCUGCAGAUGAGGACCCUGUCUGGCUUCCCCUUGUCCUCUGGGGUGACAGUGUUCUUAUGGCUGACUAAUGCUUUUUCUCAGGUAGAGUGGCUGGCCAAAGGCUCCCGAGUUAAGCUUAUCUUUCCAGUUGACACCAGGGCCAGACCCAGAAUUCAUUUCCAAAGCUCCUUCCGGGAAGAGAUGUAUCAUAGAUGCCCAGAGCCCCUUCCAGUGUAAUUGGCACAAACAUUCAAUAAAAGAAAUGCAACUGCUAGUUCAAGAAAAAUGUAUCAUCAUUCACUGGAUUAAAACAUCUUUCUGAGAAGCCCAUAUCUUUCAGAGUAAAUUUCAAUGUCUUGGUACAAAGGUACAAAUGACGUUACUUUUUUUCUUGUCAGCAUACACUUUUAAUGGAGUCAACUCAAAGCUUGCAAGCCAGCAGGCCAUGUUUGGAAGGCGAUCCCAAGGAGGACGAAGAAGGGGCAGGUCUCCCAGAGAGAGCAAAGGAAUUUGCUGAGAUAACCCCAUUACUUGAGGCAUUCGAUUGUUAAUGUCUCCUUCCAUGUGCCACUGAGCUAUGAUCUGAGAGCACUGUUAGCAUUCAAGCCUGAUAAAGUCACCCUCAUUGGAAAAACCCACUGUUACCUCAUUAAACUUGAAAAAUAGAAGGCCCUAGAACACUUGGAGAUAUUUUCGGCUUAAAAAUGUAGCUUUUUUUUCUUUCUAAGGGAAUUUAAAACAGUUAUCUAAUUGCAUGGUGAGCCUUCCUGACUGGCUGCCCAGUGGGGUCAGAGCCAGAGGUUGAGGAGCAUAAACUGCCCUCCAGCCUAGGAGAAUUUCCUCCCUUAAGAGAAACUGUCAUCAAACGCCUAAUUGAGAGGUCAGUGGUCUUAGGCCAAGCAGGAGAUAAGCCACUAGCCAUAUGCAGCUAGGUUGGCUUUGAUCUGCCAGGCCUUUGGGUGCAGAAAGAAAGCCAUCCAUGGGCUGGAGGCUGGCUAAUCUCCUUCAAGAUAAACUAGAGCUAUUUGGCUGGGACAGGGGCUCCAGAACAGAGGGGAUGUCUCCCAGUGUGCUGGGUCCAGACUAGCUAAUGAGUUAGUUGGGGAUUGCCAGACCUCCUCAUGCUCUCUGACCAUGCUCCUGACCACGGUUCUCUACCACCAUCCCUCGCCACACUGCUUAAUGACUGGGUCCCUGGUCCUGAUGAUGCCUGUUCCGAGGCAAAGUCCUAAAGAGAAACCCAUUACACCCCUCCAGAGCUGCCAGCAUUCCUUCUUGGGGACUGCUUUGGAAGAUGUCCAGUGAGUGGCUUAAGCAUGAAGCAAUUAAGGAGCAACAGAGGGCUUGUCUAGAAGCCAUAAGAAAAGACCAAGAAGGGGGAAGGAAAGAGAACAGAAGAGGAACAGAACUGGAGGCCCUUGUUACUCUGAAUCGCAGGGGAAUAGCAAGUGUAUUUCAGAAUACACUAUCAACCGUUUCUUUUUCUUCUUCCUCUUCUCUCUUUAUGUUCUUCUUUCUCUACAGCAAAAGGCCGAUGUAAUGGAAAUUAGUUGGGAUACAUCCAAGGAAGGGAAUCUGUCUGCCAGAAAAGACAGGUUUUCAGAAGCCAGUCAGUGCUGCUUGGCCUCCUGCUUGCUAUGACGCGGCCAACGUGGUUGAUUCCCAGUACAGGAAUCUUCACAGACAGGAAGCACCAGGCCAGCUGGAUGGAGAAAGUCAUAAGUAUCUCAGACAAGAGAUGAUCCCCGCCACCAUCAGGAGCAGGAGCCUGCUUAGGACAUCACAAAGUAUUGCUUUAUAAUGCUUCAAAUAGAUGGAUUAGGUAUUUGAGGCACUUUGCAGUGUCUAAGUCCACCUCCAUGAAUAGUGUUUGGGGCACAGGCUCUACUACAGUUGGCACAAUUCAGAAUAUACCUGGGACCUCUACUUGACAAGUUCUGACAUAAUGACUGUACUCACCCAGCCAGAAGGCUUGACCCUCCCCCCUCAGUCCACCAAUGCCAGCGCCCAAGCACUGGUGGACACAAGAGCAUCUUUGCUAGAAAUGACAACAAGGCAACCAUGCUGCAUUCCAUGUGUGCAAUGUGAGGUUGAACUGCCUGGUACCAUCUAGCUUUGACCUUAAGAUUCUGUAAAACAUCACGAAAUAGGUUAAGCUAUUUCCUGUUUCCCCCUUUAGGCUUUUAGAGUGGGGUUCAAGAAGGCUAUAUGAUUUAGUUAACAAAGAUUGCCUUGAUGAUAAAAAUAUAAAGACUACUUGACACCUAGGGCUAUGGGUAUAAAUCAGAAAGCAUAGCAGAGUCACCAUUCUGCAGAGUGUCAAUAUUGGUUUCCACUUUAAAAUGUCAUUAUCUUUGGGGAUAUAGAAAGGAAAGGGACCUUAGAAGAUAGCUCUCGUCCAGUCCAGGAGUUCUUCACAGAAGGACAUCUAGCUCUAGACUUUUCGACACCUGAUACCUAUUCCUCUAUGUACAUGACCAUCUCAGAUGAGCAGCUUCAUGCUUGACUGAGGGAGUAUCCACCUUCCAAACUAUUUCCAGUUACCAUGACAGAGGAAAAGAGAAUGGCGUUUAUCCUACUCCAGCUCUUUAUUGAUCAAAUCAAGCCACAUGGUCACAGUUAACUUCGAAAGGGAUGGGUCAGGGAAAAAGAAGGGAGAGAGAAAGGGGAGAUGCCUAAGUGGCCUUCCCAGUGCUCCUCUUGUGGAGCUGCUGGGGGGUGGGGGAGGAGUGCUCGAUGCUAAUCUUAACUGUCAAUUUCAUCAGAUCUAGAACUACCUGGGAGAUGGUCCCCUGUGAGAAUUAUUUCCAUCACGUUAGUUUAAUUGGCAAGACUUGCACAUUGUGGGUGGCAUCAUUCUCUAGACUAGGACUCUGGACUGUAUAAAAAGGAAAAAGCAAGCUAGGCACAAGCACUUACUAUUCUUACUUCCUGAACAUGAUUGUGAUGUGACCAGAGCUGCAUCAAGCUCCUACCAUCUUGUUGACCUACCAUGAUGGACUGUAUCCUCAAAUGUGAGCCAGAGUAAACCUGUUCUUUAUUAAGCUGGGUUGUUUUGUUUUUUUUUUUUUUCAGGUUAUUUUAUCACAUCAGUGGAAAAAAGUCACUAAUACCAAAAGGUUUUGGGAAAUGAUGAUCAAUAUGCUCCAACAAUGAUUUGAAUUUGUUGAUGUCCUCCUUGAUCUAUUUCGUUAAAUACACGAUUUUCUAUCCACUGAGGAAAGGUCUUAGCUUAACGGAGCUGGAUAACAAUAAUCUGUAAUGACAUGGGGGUUGGUCUGGAAGAAGCACUUUUGAAGACUUUAACAAAAGAUUUAACAAAUGGGAAUGCAGCUUGUUUUGGAGUGCUGGGGUUAUGACCA